CUACGGGAGGCUGCAGUGAGGAAUAUUGCACAAUGGGGGGAACCCUGAUGCAGCAACGCCGCGUGGAGGAUGACGCAUUUCGGUGUGUAAACUCCUUUUAUAUGUCAAGAAAAUGACGGUAGCAUAUGAAUAAGCACCGGCUAACUCCGUGCCAGCAGCCGCGGUAAUGCGGCGGGUGCAAGCGUUACUCGGAAUCACUGGGCGUAAAGGACGCGUAGGCGGGUUGGAAAGUCAGGUGUGAAAUCCUACAGCUUAACUGUAGAACUGCACUUGAAACUUCUAAUCUAGAGUAUGGGAGGGGGAGAUGGAAUUAGUGGUGUAGGGGUAAAAUCCGUAGAUAUCACUAGGAAUACCUAAAGCGAAGGCGAUCUCCUGGAACAUUACUGACGCUAAGGCGUGAAAGCGUGGGGAGCAAACAGGAUUAGAUACCCUUGUAGUC
rnacentral:rRNA from 1 species